rnacentral:piRNA from 1 species
UGUCACAUGCCCAGCUUCCUGCCAACUC